rnacentral:rRNA from 1 species
CCUACGGGAGGCAGCAGUAGGGAAUUUUCGUCAAUGGGCGCAAGCCUGAACGAGCAAUGCCGCGUGAACGAGGAAGGUCUUCGGAUCGUAAAGUUCUGUUGAAGGGGAAAAAGAGCGGAGAGAGGAAAUGGUCUCCGAUUGAUAUUACCCUUCGAGGAAGUCACGGCUAACUACGUGCCAGCAGCCGCGGUAAUACGAAGGUGGCGAGCGUUAUCCGGAAUGAUUGGGCGUAAAGGGUGCGUAGGCGGCCUGCUAAGUCUGGAGUGAAAGGUACCGGCUCAACCGGUACAGGCUCUGGAAACUGGCGGGCUAGAGAGCAGGAGAGGGCGGUGGAACUCCAUGUGUAGCGGGAAAAUGCGUAGAUAUAUGGAAGAACACCAGUGGCGAAGGCGGCCGCCUGGCCUGUUACUGACGCUGAGGCACGAAAGCGUGGGGAGCAAAUAGGAUUAGAUACCCCGGUAGUC